ACGCAACGAAGUUCCGCUAGGGCAUGUGCGUCAAUGAACUCGAUUUCUGUCUACAAUCUCUUCUGGAAAGUUCCUGCACUGUAAUUUCUCGAAAAUAAUUUAUUUGUUUACGCACGUUUUCUUAUUUCCGAUAACUUUCUAAAGCCAAAAUUGAAGACUUUCCUGCAAAAUGGAAGAUUAUUAUGAUAUUUUAGAAUUACCUAGAAAUGCUUCAAAUGGUGAUAUAAAAAAGGCGUAUCGAAAAUUGGCUUUAAAAUGGCAUCCUGAUAAAAAUCCAGAUAGAAAAGAAGAAGCUGAACGUAGAUUUAAACAAAUUUCAGAAGCUUAUGAAGUACUUUCUGAUG